rnacentral:rRNA from 1 species
AGAACGAACGCUGGCGGCAGGCCUAAUACAUGCAAGUCGAACGCACUCUUCGGAGUGAGUGGCAGACGGGUGAGUAACGCGUGGGAACCUUCCCAAUGGUACGGAAUAACUCCGGGAAACCGGUGCUAAUACCGUAUAAGCCCCUCGGGGGAAAGAUUUAUCGCCAUUGGAUGGGCCCGCGUCGGAUUAGCUAGUUGGUAAGGUAAUGGCUUACCAAGGCUACGAUCCGUAGCUGGUCUGAGAGGAUGAUCAGCCACACUGGGACUGAGACACGGUCCAGACUCCUACGGGAGGCAGCAGUGGGGAAUAUUGGACAAUGGGCGCAAGCCUGAUCCAGCCAUGCCGCGUGAGUGAAGAAGGCCUUCGGGUUGUAAAGCUCUUUUGUCCGGAAAGAAAGCUCUCGGCUAAUACCCGGGAGUUCUGACGGUACCGGAAGAAUAAGCACCGGCUAACUUCGUGCCAGCAGCCGC